AGGACGAACGCUGGCGGCGUGCUUAACACAUGCAAGUGGAGCGACGAACCAGGGCUUGCCCUGGGGCAGAGCCGCGAACGGGUGAGUAACACGUGGGUUACCUGCCUCGAUGACCGGGACAACCCGAGGAAACUCGGGCUAAUACCGGAUGUGCCCGCAAGGGGAAAGGAAGCUUCGGCCUCCGCAUCGAGAUGGGCCCGCGGCCCAUUAGCUUGUUGGUGAGGUAACGGCUCACCAAGGCUUCGAUGGGUAGCUGGUCUGAGAGGACGAUCAGCCACACUGGGACUGAGACACGGCCCAGACUCCUACGGGAGGCAGCAGUGGGGAAUCUUGCGCAAUGCGCGAAAGCGUGACGCAGCAACGCCGCGUGGGGGAAGAAGGCUUUCGGGUUGUAAACCCCGUUUCAGUUGGGACGAAGCUUCGCCGGUGAAUAGCCGGCCGGAGUGACGGUACCUUCACAAGAAGCACCGGCUAACUACGCGCCAGCAGCCGCGGU
rnacentral:rRNA from 1 species